AUUGAACGCUGGCGGCACGCCUAACACAUGCAAGUCGAACGGUAACAGGAGCUAGCUUGCUAGCUUGCUGACGAGUGGCGGACGGGUGAGGAAUACAUAGGAAGCUACCUCUUGGCGGGGGAUAGUCCGGGGAAACCCGGGGUAAUACCGCAUAAGCUCUACGGAGGAAAGCAGGGGACCUUCGGGCCUUGCACCGAGAGAUGCGCCUAUGUCAGAUUAGCUUGUUGGUAGGGUAAUGGCCUACCAAGGCGACGAUCUGUAGCUGGUCUGAGAGGAUGAUCAGCCACACUGGGACUGAGACACGGCCCAG
rnacentral:rRNA from 1 species